AUUGCCGGCAACGAAGCAGGUGCCCUUGCUAAGGGUUAAACGGGAAGUAUGGUGGACUAUUGCCGUCAUCCAUCGCUGCCCCCGCAUCGGUAAAAAAGAGUAGUCUGCAUAUGCCACUGGAUGAUUCCGGGAAGGCGCAGGCGAUGGCCACAACCCUCUUUAAGCCCGAAUACCGGCCUGUUUUUUAACCAACAU
rnacentral:ncRNA from 2 species